rnacentral:rRNA from 1 species
UGCCAGCAGCCGCGGUAAUACGUAAGUGGCAAGCAUUAUCCGGAUUUACUGGGCAUAAAGCGCACGCAGGUGGUAGUUUAAGUCAGGUGUAAAAGGCUAUAGCUCAACUAUAGUAAGCAUUUGAAACUGAAUUACUCGAGAUCAGGAGAGGGAAGCGGAACUCAUAGUGUAGCGGUGAAAUGCGUAGAUAUUAUGAGGAACACCAGUGGCGAAGGCGGCUUCCUGGACUGAUUCUGACACUGAGGUGCGAAAGCAUGGGGAGCGAACGGGAUUAGAUA